ACGGAAGGCAGCAGUGGGGAAUAUUGCACAAUGGGGGAAACCCUGAUGCAGCGACGCCGCGUGAGUGAAGAAGUAUUUCGGUAUGUAAAGCUCUAUCAGCAGGGAAGAAAAUGACGGUACCUGACUAAGAAGCCCCGGCUAACUACGUGCCAGCAGCCGCGGUAAUACGUAGGGGGCAAGCGUUAUCCGGAUUUACUGGGUGUAAAGGGAGCGUAGACGGCGAGGCAAGUCUGAUGUGAAAACCCGGGGCUCAACCCCGGGACUGCAUUGGAAACUGUCAGGCUUGAGUGCAGGAGAGGUAAGUGGAACUCCUAGUGUAGCGGUGAAAUGCGUGGAUAUUAGGAGGAACACCAGUGGCGAAGGCGGCUUACUGGACUGUAACUGACGUUGAGGCUCGAAAGCGUGGGGAGCAAACAGGAUUAGAUACCCUGGUA
rnacentral:rRNA from 1 species